GGUUAAGCGACUAAGCGUACACGGUGGAUGCCCUGGCAGUCAGAGGCGAUGAAGGACGUGCUAAUCUGCGAAAAGCGUCGGUAAGGUGAUAUGAACCGUUAUAACCGGCGAUGUCCGAAUGGGGAAACCCAGUGCAAUUCGUUGCACUAUCGUUAACUGAAUACAUAGGUUAACGAGGCGAACCGGGGGAACUGAAACAUCUAAGUACCCCGAGGAAAAGAAAUCAACCGAGAUUCCCCCAGUAGCGGCGAGCGAACGGGGAGCAGCCCAGAGUCUGAAUCAGCUUGUGUGUUAGUGGAACGGUCUGGAAAGUCCGACGGUACAGGGUGAUAGUCCCGUACACCAAAAUGCACAGGCUGUGAACUCGAAGAGUAGGGCGGGACACGUGGUAUCCUGUCUGAAUAUGGGGGGACCAUCCUCCAAGGCUAAAUACUCCUGACUGACCGAUAGUGAACCAGUACCGUGAGGGAAAGGCGAAAAGAACCCCGGCGAGGGGAGUGAAAAAGAACCUGAAACCGUGUACGUACAAGCAGUGGGAGCACCUUCGGGUGUGACUGCGUACCUUUUGUAUAAUGGGUCAGCGACUUAUAUUCUGUAGCAAGGUUAACCGUAUAGGGGAGCCGCAGGGAAACCGAGUCUUAACUGGGCGUUAAGUUGCAGGGUAUAGACCCGAAACCCGGUGAUCUAGCCAUGGGCAGGUUGAAGGUUGGGUAACACUAACUGGAGGACCGAACCGACUAAUGUUGAAAAAUUAGCGGAUGACUUGUGGCUGGGGGUGAAAGGCCAAUCAAACCGGGAGAUAGCUGGUUCUCCCCGAAAGCUAUUUAGGUAGCGCCUCGUGAAUUCAUCUUCGGGGGUAGAGCACUGUUUCGGCUAGGGGGUCAUCCCGACUUACCAACCCGAUGCAAACUACGAAUACCGAAGAAUGUUAUCACGGGAGACACACGGCGGGUGCUAACGUCCGUCGUGAAGAGGGAAACAACCCAGACCGCCAGCUAAGGUCCCAAAGUCAUGGUUAAGUGGGAAACGAUGUGGGAAGGCACAGACAGCCAGGAUGUUGGCUUAGAAGCAGCCAUCAUUUAAAGAAAGCGUAAUAGCUCACUGGUCGAGUCGGCCUGCGCGGAAGAUGUAACGGGGCUAAACCAUGCACCGAAGCUGCGGCAGCGACACUAUGUGUUGUUGGGUAGGGGAGCGUUCUGUAAGCCUGCGAAGGUGACCUGUGAGGGUUGCUGGAGGUAUCAGAAGUGCGAAUGCUGACAUAAGUAACGAUAAAGCGGGUGAAAAGCCCGCUCGCCGGAAGACCAAGGGUUCCUGUCCAACGUUAAUCGGGGCAGGGUGAGUCGACCCCUAAGGCGAGGCCGAAAGGCGUAGUCGAUGGGAAACAGGUUAAUAUUCCUGUACUUGGUGUUACUGCGAAGGGGGGACGGAGAAGGCUAUGUUAGCCGGGCGACGGUUGUCCCGGUUUAAGCAUGUAGGCUGGUUAUCCAGGCAAAUCCGGAUAAUCAAGGCUGAGGUGUGAUGACGAGGCACUACGGUGCUGAAGUAACAAAUGCCCUGCUUCCAGGAAAAGCCUCUAAGCAUCAGGUAACAUCAAAUCGUACCCCAAACCGACACAGGUGGUCAGGUAGAGAAUACCAAGGCGCUUGAGAGAACUCGGGUGAAGGAACUAGGCAAAAUGGUGCCGUAACUUCGGGAGAAGGCACGCUGGUGUGUAGGUGAAGUCCCUGCGGAUGGAGCUGAGACCAGUCGAAGAUACCAGCUGGCUGCAACUGUUUAUUAAAAACACAGCACUGUGCAAACACGAAAGUGGACGUAUACGGUGUGACGCCUGCCCGGUGCCGGAAGGUUAAUUGAUGGGGUUAUCCGUAAGGAGAAGCUCUUGAUCGAAGCCCCGGUAAACGGCGGCCGUAACUAUAACGGUCCUAAGGUAGCGAAAUUCCUUGUCGGGUAAGUUCCGACCUGCACGAAUGGCGUAAUGAUGGCCAGGCUGUCUCCACCCGAGACUCAGUGAAAUUGAACUCGCUGUGAAGAUGCAGUGUACCCGCGGCAAGACGGAAAGACCCCGUGAACCUUUACUAUAGCUUGACACUGAACAUUGAGCCUUGAUGUGUAGGAUAGGUGGGAGGCUUUGAAGCGUGGACGCCAGUCUGCGUGGAGCCAACCUUGAAAUACCACCCUUUAAUGUUUGAUGUUCUAACGUUGGCCCCUUACCGGGGUUGCGGACAGUGUCUGGUGGGUAGUUUGACUGGGGCGGUCUCCUCCCAAAGCGUAACGGAGGAGCACGAAGGUUAGCUAAUCCUGGUCGGACAUCAGGAGGUUAGUGCAAUGGCAUAAGCUAGCUUGACUGCGAGCGUGACGGCGCGAGCAGGUGCGAAAGCAGGUCAUAGUGAUCCGGUGGUUCUGAAUGGAAGGGCCAUCGCUCAACGGAUAAAAGGUACUCCGGGGAUAACAGGCUGAUACCGCCCAAGAGUUCAUAUCGACGGCGGUGUUUGGCACCUCGAUGUCGGCUCAUCACAUCCUGGGGCUGAAGUAGGUCCCAAGGGUAUGGCUGUUCGCCAUUUAAAGUGGUACGCGAGCUGGGUUUAGAACGUCGUGAGACAGUUCGGUCCCUAUCUGCCGUGGGCGCUGGAGAAUUGAGGGGGGCUGCUCCUAGUACGAGAGGACCGGAGUGGACGCAUCACUGGUGUUCGGGUUGUCAUGCCAAUGGCACUGCCCGGUAGCUAAAUGCGGAAGAGAUAAGUGCUGAAAGCAUCUAAGCACGAAACUUGCCCCGAGAUGAGUUCUCCCUGAGACU
rnacentral:rRNA from 1 species